rnacentral:rRNA from 1 species
UACGUAGGGCGCAAGCGUUAUCCGGAAUUAUUGGGCGUAAAGAGCUCGUAGGCGGUUUGUCGCGUCUGCCGUGAAAGUCCGGGGCUCAACUCCGGAUCUGCGGUGGGUACGGGCAGACUAGAGUGCAGUAGGGGAGACUGGAAUUCCUGGUGUAGCGGUGAAAUGCGCAGAUAUCAGGAGGAACACCGAUGGCGAAGGCAGGUCUCUGGGCCACUACUGACGCUGAGAAGCGAAAGCGUGGGGAGCGAACAGG